CGGCCGCGUCGACCUGGCGGCGUGCUUAACACAUGCAAGUCGAACGGAAAGGCCCUGCUUUUGUGGGGUGCUCGAGUGGCGAACGGGUGAGUAACACGUGAGUAACCUGCCCUUGACUUUGGGAUAACUUCAGGAAACUGGGGCUAAUACCGGAUAGGAGCUCCUGCUGCAUGGUGGGGGUUGGAAAGUUUCGGCGGUUGGGGAUGGACUCGCGGCUUAUCAGCUUGUUGGUGGGGUAGUGGCUUACCAAGGCUUUGACGGGUAGCCGGCCUGAGAGGGUGACCGGCCACAUUGGGACUGAGAUACGGCCCAGACUCCUACGGGAGGCAGCAGUCGACGCGGCCG
rnacentral:rRNA from 1 species